GGAUUGUAGUCUGCAACUCGACUACAUGAAGCUGGAAUCGCUAGUAAUCGCGAAUCAGAAUGUCGCGGUGAAUACGUUCCCGGGUCUUGUACACACCGCCCGUCACACCAUGGGAGUCAGUAACGCCCGAAGCCGGUGACCCAACCAAACGGAGGGAGCCGUCGAAGGUGGGACCGAUAACUGGGGUGAAGUCGUAACAAGGUAUC
rnacentral:rRNA from 1 species